AGUGAACGCUGGCGGUAGGCCUAACACAUGCAAGUCGAACGGCAGCACAGUAAGAGCUUGCUCUUACGGGUGGCGAGUGGCGGACGGGUGAGGAAUACAUCGGAAUCUACUUUUUCGUGGGGGAUAACGUAGGGAAACUUACGCUAAUACCGCAUACGACCUACGGGUGAAAGCAGGGGAUCUUCGGACCUUGCGCGAUUGAAUGAGCCGAUGUCGGAUUAGCUAGUUGGCGGGGUAAAGGCCCACCAAGGCGACGAUCCGUAGCUGGUCUGAGAGGAUGACCAUCCACACUGGAACUGAGGCACGGUCCAGACUCCUACGGGAGGCAGCAGUGGGGAAUAUUGGACAAGGGGCGCAAGCCUGAUCCAGCCAUACCGCGUGGGUGAAGAAGGCCUUCGGGUUGUAAAGCCCUUUUGUUGGGAAAGAAAACCAGCAGGUUAAUACCCCGCCGUUCUGACGGUACCCAAAGAAUAAGCACCGGCUAACUUCGUG
rnacentral:rRNA from 1 species